AGUUUAUGAACGAAAUGAAAGAGACGUCUUUCCUCAUGCAAAAUGUCACGCCAAGGAGUCUUAUUGUCAUGGACGAACUUGGAAGGUCUACUUCUACCUCUGAUGGGUUUGCUAUAGCAUGGAGCUGCUGUGAACAUCUUCUCUCUCUCAAGGCGUAGUUGCUCACAACUCUUCAUCAUUAAUCUUUUCUAUACAUUUUUCCUUUAGAAUGGAAUAAACUUUUGUUGUCCUUCAAUGAAUGUACCAUAGAGACAUGCAUGAAGAUUUCUUCUUCUCC